GAUGAACGCUAGCGGCAGGCCUAACCCAUGCAAGUCGAGGGGUAACUAGAGUGAUAGCAAUAUUACUUUGGCUAGACCGGCGCACGGGUGCGUAACACGUAUGCAACCUACCUUAUACUGGGGAAUAACUUCGAGAAAUCGGCGCUAAUACCCCAUAACAUUGCGAAGAGGCAUCUCUGUGCAAUUAAAGCUCCGGCGGUAUAAGAUGGGCAUGCGUCCAAUUAGCUAGUUGGUGAGGUAACGGCUCACCAAGGCUACGAUUGGUAGGGGUUCUGAGAGGAUGAUCCCCCACACUGGUACUGAGACACGGACCAGACUCCUACGGGAGGCAGCAGUGAGGAAUAUUGCGCAAUGGACGAAAGUCUGACGCAGCCAUGCCGCGUGCAGGAUGACGGCCCUAUGGGUUGUAAACUGCUUUUGUACGGGAAUAAACCCUUCUACGUGUAGGAGGCUGAAGGUACCGUAAGAAUAAGCACCGGCUAACUCCGUGCCAGCCGCCGCAGUAA
rnacentral:rRNA from 1 species